UACGUAGGGCGCGAGCGUUGUCCGGAUUUAUUGGGCGUAAAGAGCUCGUAGGCGGCUUGUUGCGUCGACUGUGAAAACCUGCGGCUCAACCGUGUGGUCUGCAGUCGAUACGGGCAGACUAGAGUGCGGUAGGGGAGACUGGAAUUCCUGGUGUAGUGGUGGAAUGCGUAGAUAUCGGGAGGAACACCAGUGGCGAAAGG
rnacentral:rRNA from 1 species